AUGUGAUUUAUAGACACUUAAUAAUUUGCAUAUAAUUAAAAUAAUAUGAAAUCGGUAACGUUUCCUGGAAAAUAAAAGAAAUAAAAAAAUAAAAGUGGAGUGAAGCACGAUUGGUCCCCAUCCGAGUAUCUGUUUCUCCCUCCCCUAUCUGGUCUAUAAAGACGUAAGAAGACCGCUCCCUAUGGAUGAUGGUGUACCUUCUGACGAGAGUGGUGACGUGAAUAU
rnacentral:lncRNA from 1 species